UUCUUAUAGAAUACAAUAAUUAUAAGUAAAACCUGCUCAAUGAAAUUUAAAUAGCCGCAAAUUAUUUGUGCUAAGGUAGCAUAAUCAUUUGUCUUAUAAAUGAAGACUAGUAUGAAAGGUCAAACGUUUACAAACUAUCUAAAUAUUAAAACAUAAAAAUUUAAAUAAAUAUAAAAAUAUAUUUAUCCAUAAAAAAGACGACAAGACCCUGUUGAAUUUUACUAUCUUAGUUUAACUGGGGCAGUUAAACAACAAAAUCUUAAUAAAAAAUACUAAAGCAAACAGAUCCAUUAACAAUGACCUAUUGAACAAAUUACCACAGGGAUAACAGCAUAAUUUAUGACAGUAGUCCUUAUAUACUCAUAAGCUUAUGACCUCGAUGUUGAAUAAUUUAACUAUUAUAAAGCAAAAAUUUAAAAAGUAGGUCUGUUCGACCUUUAAACAAUUACA
rnacentral:rRNA from 2 species